UACGGAGGAUGCGAGCGUUAUCCGGAAUGAUUGGGCGUAAAGCGUCCGCAGGUGGCUGUGUAAGUCUGCUGUCAAAGAGCGAAGCUCAACUUCGUAAAGGCAGUGGAAACUACACGGCUAGAGUGCGUUCGGGGCAGAGGGAAUUCCUGGUGUAGCGGUGAAAUGCGUAGAGAUCAGGAAGAACACCGGUGGCGAAGGCGCUCUGCUAGGCCGCAACUGACACUGAGGGACGAAAGCUAGGGGAGCGAAUGGG
rnacentral:rRNA from 1 species